GGAAGUUGGGCUGGCCGCAAAUGUCGCUGAACGGCAGGUGCACAGACUGGGGGACAGGAGCCUGGGUGGGGGGCCAUUGUAGCAAUCCUGGGUGAGGUUCUGAGCACUGGAACAGAAAAGGAAAUGCAGAGGAGCAGGUCAGAGGAAGAAAGAAGAAGACCUUGCUGCAAUUUGGAUGAAGGGAAGAAGGAGAGGGAGCUGGAGCCUGGGGCGGUGGUGCCGGCCCCCAGCAAAGCUCGAAGAGGGAGAUAACGUGGAUUGUCCCUUGCGGAAAGAGGGAGGCUCACCCCAAGUGAUGGGGCAAUGUGGCAGAAAGCUUCUGUGUGCGAGGAGACCCGUGGGGCUUUGGGACGGCCACACCGGGAGUGCAGAGACCUUGAGAGGGGAAGAGAGGGUCUCUGGGGUCAAGUCCUUGGAGAGCGCUGGAGAGCUGGGGUCCACAAAGCCUGAGAGACUAGGGCGCUGCUCAGCCUGGAUUCCUGGAUGAGCUCCUGGUGGCACAAAGUGCCCCACUAGUGACUGACACUUCCACCUGCCCGACCCUGUUAAGUGUUCAGAGCCAGAUCACCUUUGGUUUGGGAAUAUUAAGUGACAAUUCUACCGCCAGGAGCUGUGGACCAAAGUCACUCCUCCCGCGCGGAAAACAGCUGCGAGGACUCCCAACAUAUGUCCUGAGUUCUCACCGAUUUAUUCUUGAAAUGCUCAAGUCAUUUUUUCUAACACUUUUAAUGUUUCAUGCUUUUCUAUUUUUUUAAUUAUGAAAGACUGCAAACACACGCAGAAACAGACUAGGACCCACCCACCUUGUACAGGUGCCAACCUUGGAUAAACUCGUUCCCACUCUAACCCCCCUCCUGUUAUUAUUUGCAUAUGUAAACUUCUCAGCGAAGCCUAAUACUAGAGAGAAGUGCCCACGUCAUCCGUCUCAGCUUGGUCAGCUUCUGCACCCUCUUGUACCAUUUUGCAGCACAUCUGUAAUCAUUUCAUCAGUUUCAGCCUUGCAUUCGCAUUUUUAUCGCGGCUGGAAGCAUGUAACAUGGGGCUUUCCGUCCGCGUCAUUUCAAGCACGUGGCUCAGUAGCGUUCAAUAUACUGGCAAUGCUGUACGGCAGGUCUCCCGAAUCUUCUCAUCUGGCAACACUGAAGAACUCUCCUUCGCAUCCUUUGUAACGGGAGUCACUGGGGAGCUGAGCUGUCAAAUCUACAUAGAAAGACAUGUGUGCCUUCGUCUUACAGAGUAGGACACACCAUGGAAGGCGGGAAAGAGGGACCCACGGGCCAUGAUUUUACACCUGACACCAGAAAGGCUCUGCAAACAGGAGGCCUGCCAUGCAUCCCUGCCUCCCGGGGCACACCCCUGAUGCUCGGUGAUUACGGGGUGGACAGCACGUAGGAAGCAAGGUCAGGUCAUGGCUCCUUAGCCUUGGUGACUGUCACCUUUGCACACUUGGAGUGACUUCACCGGAUCUCGUGGCGGUCUGACAGCAUACUUGGGUCUGAAAAAAAUGGAGAAAGUAGCCACUCCGUGCAUUUCUGAAGGAAGCACAGAAGAACUAAGAACUUUUGCCUGUUUUCGACUUGAACGCAAAAGUCUGACUCCCCCCGGACUGUGCUUAGCUGUGGGAAUGGCUGGGAGAGAGACUGUAAUCCCUAACCCGAUUCUUUCAUUAUUAUUUACCUUCUA